ACACAUGCAAGUCGAGCGAGGAAGAGGAGAUAGCUUGCUAACUCCUGUUUCUAGCGGCGGACGGGUGAGUAACGCGUGAGCAACCUGCCUUUAUCAGGGGGAUAACGCAUCGAAAGAUGUGCUAAUACCGCGUAAGACCACAGCCUCACAUGGGGCAGGGGUCAAAGGAGCAAUCCGGAUAAAGAUGGGCUCGCGUCCGAUUAGCUAGUUGGUGAGAUAACAGCCCACCAAGGCGACGAUCGGUAGCCGACCUGAGAGGGUGAUCGGCCACAUUGGAACUGAGAGACGGUCCAGACUCCUACGGGAGGCAGCAGUGGGGAAUAUUGGGCAAUGGGCGAAAGCCUGACCCAGCAACGCCGCGUGAGGGAAGAAGGGUUUCGGCUCGUAAACCUCUGUCCUAUGGGACGAAGGAAGUGACGGUACCAUAGGAGGAAGCCCCGGCUAACUACGUGCCAGCAGCCGCGGUAAUACGUAGGGGGCGAGCGUUGUCCGGAAUGAUUGGGCGUAAAGGGCGCGUAGGCGGCCUGCUAAGUCUGGAGUGAAAGUCCUGCUUUCAAGGUGGGAAGUGCUUUGGAUACUGGUGGGCUGGAGUGCAGGAGAGGAAAGCGGAAUUACCGGUGUAGCGGUGAAAUGCGUAGAGAUCGGUAGGAACACCAGUGGCGAAGGCGGCUUUCUGGACUGAAACUGACGCUGAGGCGCGAAAGCGUGGGGAGCAAACAGGAUUAGAUACCCUGGUAGUCCACGCGGUAA
rnacentral:rRNA from 1 species